UGACAACUACCCAAGAACAUUGAGAAUGUCGCCAGAAAUUCCUUUUGCUGAUAUCACAAAUUUUGUGCCAUGGUCCAUAAAGAGAACAAGUGCUGGUGUGUGUUCCGAUCCAGUAAAUUUUCUUCAUGUGCCACACAAGUGGAGACGACUCUGCUUUUUUACCAUGAUCUUGAGAGUUAUGAACUUUAUGACAAUAAUGACUCUCAAGUUCAGCAAGAGCUCGUACAAAAGAUAUGGAAAGUGUUUGAGACUAUACUAGAAGAG